rnacentral:rRNA from 1 species
UCGAGAGGCUUCGGCAAUGGGGGAAACCCUGACCGAGCGACGCCGCGUGGGUGAUGAAGAUCCCUGGAUCGUAAAACCCUGUCAGGUGGGAUGAACUGCCAUUUGGUUAAUACCCGAGUGGUUUGACAGUACCGCCAGAGGAAGCUCCGGCUAACUCCGUGCCAGCAGCCGCGGUAAUACGGAGGAUGCGAGCGUUAUCCGGAUUUAUUGGGUUUAAAGGGUGCGUAGGCGGAUUAAUAAGUCAGUGGUGAAAACCUGCAGCUUAACUGUAGACUUGCCAUUGAUACUGUUAGUCUUGAGUACGGUCAAGGUAGGCGGAAUGCGUAAUGUAGCGGUGAAAUGCUUAGAUAUUACACAGAACACCGAUUGCGAAGGCAGCUUACUGGGCCAUUACUGACGCUGAGGCACGAAAGCGUGGGGAGCGAACAGGAUUAGAUACCCUGGUAGUCCACGCCGUAAACGAUGAUCACUCGCUGUUGGCGAUACACAGUCAGCGGCUAAGCAAAAGCAUUAAGUGAUCCACCUGGGGAGUACGGCCGCAAGGCUG